AGCGUCAAUGCGCCGGUUUCAAGAAUCACGUCAGCCAUGAUGUUUUCCCGACGGGGCCGAUGCCUCGUUAUGUGCUUUUUGGGCAUUUUUGGAUCGUUUUUUCCCUGAAAAAUUCGACAGGAUCAAAACGCAAUCCUUCUGGGCGGUUGCGUAAAGUGUUAGGUGUAGUUUCUGAGUGAAAUUGUGGCGGUUCUCAGGGUGUUUCAGUUGUUCAAUGGCCGACAACGGUCCGGUCUCCCCAAAAUCAAUCGAUAAAAAAAUUCCGUCUAUAUUCUACCGGUUGAUACCGAAUUUAUCACGUUCAGAAGAUGCUGGACUGGGAAUAACAAGUUAGAAAGAAGAAAAAUAUAGAUAUGUGGAAAUUGAACAGAUUAAAUUAAUUAAAUAGGAAGACGAUUAAUGCUGAAAAAUUGAUAUUUUCGAAAAUUUUGAUAUCGAUGAAAU